rnacentral:tRNA from 1 species
AAAAAGAUAAGCUAAAAAAGCUAGUGGGCCCAUACCCCACUAAUAAAGGUUUAAAUCCUUUUCUUUUUU